GAGUUUGAUCCUGGCUCAGGAUGAACGCUGGCGGCGUGCCUAAUACAUGCAAGUCGAGCGAACAGAUAAGGAGCUUGCUCCUUUGAAGUUAGCGGCGGACGGGUGAGUAACACGUGGGUAACCUACCUAUAAGACUGGGAUAACUUCGGGAAACCGGAGCUAAUACCGGAUAACAUUUAGAACCGCAUGGUUCUAAAGUGAAAGAUGGUUUUGCUAUCACUUAUAGAUGGACCCGCGCCGUAUUAGCUAGUUGGUAAGGUAACGGCUUACCAAGGCGACGAUACGUAGCCGACCUGAGAGGGUGAUCGGCCACACUGGAACUGAGACACGGUCCAGACUCCUACGGGAGGCAGCAGUAGGGAAUCUUCCGCAAUGGGCGAAAGCCUGACGGAGCAACGCCGCGUGAGUGAUGAAGGGUUUCGGCUCGUAAAACUCUGUUAUUAGGGAAGAACAAAUGUGUAAGUAACUGUGCACAUCUUGACGGUACCUAAUCAGAAAGCCACGGCUAACUACGUGCCAGCAGC
rnacentral:rRNA from 1 species